rnacentral:rRNA from 1 species
CCUGGCUCAGGAUGAACGCUAGCUACAGGCUUAACACAUGCAAGUCGAGGGGCAGCAUGGUCUUAGCUUGCUAAGGCCGAUGGCGACCGGCGCACGGGUGAGUAACACGUAUCCAACCUGCCGUCUACUCUUGGACAGCCUUCUGAAAGGAAGAUUAAUACAAGAUGGCAUCAUGAGUCCGCAUGUUCACAUGAUUAAAGGUAUUCCGGUAGACGAUGGGGAUGCGUUCCAUUAGAUAGUAGGCGGGGUAACGGCCCACCUAGUCUUCGAUGGAUAGGGGUUCUGAGAGGAAGGUCCCCCACAUUGGAACUGAGACACGGUCCAAACUCCUACGGGAGACAGCAGUGAGGAAUAUUGGUCAAUGGGCGAGAGCCUGAACCAGCCAAGUAGCGUGAAGGAUGACUGCCCUAUGGGUUGUAAACUUCUUUUAUAAAGGAAUAAAGUCGGGUAUGGAUACCCGUUUGCAUGUACUUUAUGAAUAAGGAUCGGCUAACUCCGUGCCAGCAGCCGCGGUAAUACGGAGGAUCCGAGCGUUAUCCGGAUUUAUUGGGUUUAAAGGGAGCGUAGAUGGAUGUUUAAGUCAGUUGUGAAAGUUUGCGGCUCAACCGUAAAAUUGCAGUUGAUACUGGAUAUCUUGAGUGCAGUUGAGGCAGGCGGAAUUCGUGGUGUAGCGGUGAAAUGCUUAGAUAUCACGAAGAACUCCGAUUGCGAAGGCAGCCUGCUAAGCUGCAACUGACAUUGAGGCUCGAAAGUGUGGGUAUCAAACAGGAUUAGAUACCCUGGUAGUCCACACGGUAAACGAUGAAUACUCGCUGUUUGCGAUAUACUGCAAGCGGCCAAGCGAAAGCGUUAAGUAUUCCACCUGGGGAGUACGCCGGCAACGGUGAAACUCAAAGGAAUUGACGGGGGCCCGCACAAGCGGAGGAACAUGUGGUUUAAUUCGAUGAUACGCGAGGAACCUUACCCGGGCUUAAAUUGCAGAUGAAUUACGGUGAAAGCCGUAAGCCGCAAGGCAUCUGUGAAGGUGCUGCAUGGUUGUCGUCAGCUCGUGCCGUGAGGUGUCGGCUUAAGUGCCAUAACGAGCGCAACCCUUGUUGUCAGUUACUAACAGGUUCCGCUGAGGACUCUGACAAGACUGCCAUCGUAAGAUGUGAGGAAGGUGGGGAUGACGUCAAAUCAGCACGGCCCUUACGUCCGGGGCUACACACGUGUUACAAUGGGGGGUACAGAGGGCCGCUACCACGCGAGUGGAUGCCAAUCCCCAAAACCUCUCUCAGUUCGGACUGGAGUCUGCAACCCGACUCCACGAAGCUGGAUUCGCUAGUAAUCGCGCAUCAGCCACGGCGCGGUGAAUACGUUCCCGGGCCUUGUACACACCGCCC